CCUACGGGCGGCAGCAGUGGGGAAUAUUGGACAAUGGGCGAAAGCCUGAUCCAGCCAUGCCGCGUGUGUGAAGAAGGCCUUCGGGUUGUAAAGCACUUUCAGUGGGGAAGAAAGCCUUGGGGCUAAUACCCUCGAGGAAGGACAUCACCCACAGAAGAAGCACCGGCUAACUCCGUGCCAGCAGCCGCGGUAAUACGGAGGGUGCGAGCGUUAAUCGGAAUUACUGGGCGUAAAGCGCGCGUAGGCGGUCUGAUAAGCCGGUUGUGAAAGCCCCGGGCUCAACCUGGUAACGGCAUCCGGAACUGUCAGGCUAGAGUGCAGGAGAGGAAGGUAGAAUUCCCGGUGUAGCGGUGAAAUGCGUAGAGAUCGGGAGGAACACCAGUGGCGAAGGCGGCCUUCUGGACUGACACUGACGCUGAGGUGCGAAAGCGUGGGUAGCAAACAGGAUUAGAUACCCCAGUAGUC
rnacentral:rRNA from 1 species